rnacentral:lncRNA from 1 species
GAGAAAUGAAAAAAUACUUGUAUUCAAAUAAAAUUAGAAUCAACUCAAUUCAGUCUCAUGAUACAAAUUGGAGUUUCAGUAAAUCAAUUAAUUGGGAAAAGAAAAAGUGUCUAGCCACUCAUGGUGACUCUUAAUACAACAUAAUGGAAAGAGAGAGGAGAAAAAGUGGAAAAAUUACAGGUGUUACAGUGGGCAGCAUGAGGAAGAAGAUCUUUAUUUUUGGCCUGUGGCCUCUUUUACAGACAAAAAGGAUUAUGGUUUCCUUUUGAGAUUCUUCCAAUGAUUUCAGCACUUAGCUUGCUUUCCAAAAUCAUCUUCUCCUUGAUUUUUGGUUUUCAAUCUAAGUUGUAGCGGGAUUCUCU